CCAAAAUAUAUGUUAAGUGGAAAAGGAUGUGGCGUUGCCCAGACAACUAGGAUGUUGGCUUAGAAGCAGCCAUCAUUUAAAGAGUGCGUAAUAGCUCACUAGUCGAGUGACACUGCGCCGAAAAUGUACCGGGGCUAAACAUAUUACCGAAGCUGUGGAUUGUCCUUUGGACAAUGGUAGGAGAGCGUUCUAAGGGCGUUGAAGCAUGAUCGUAAGGACAUGUGGAGCGCUUAGAAGUGAGAAUGCCGGUGUGAGUAGCGAAAGACGGGUGAGAAUCCCGUCCACCGAUUGACUAAGGUUUCCAGAGGAAGGCUCGUCCGCUCUGGGUUAGUCGGGUCCUAAGCUGAGGCCGACAGGCGUAGGCGAUGGAUAACAGGUUGAUAUUCCUGUACCACCUAUAAUCGUUUUAAUCGAUGGGGGGAC
rnacentral:rRNA from 1 species